GCGGAUACAGUGGGUAUUCCUGAUAUUCCCAGGAAUACCCAACUGUUUUAUGCACUAAGUAUAUAUAUAUAUAUAUAUAUUAGUAUUUCUAUAUUUAGCAAAUAAAAUUUUUCUCUCAUUCUUUUUGUCUAUUUUUGUAUUUCUUUUUUUACAUAGGUUCUAUGUUAGCUCGAUUGCUAAAAUUAUUAUAUUUUGUUGUUUCUACAAAUGAAACCUAAUUAUUUAUCUCCAGACCAAAUAUAUAUUGACUCAUGCCACCAAAUAUUAGUACAAAUCAUAUCUUAUUUCCAAACUCUUUUCGAAGACGAAUCGGAAUAUGCACAUGGCAACAUGUAUAAAAAACUAUUCUUUUCGUGUGAGUGAACGAGGCAUGAGUGGGAGGCAAUUCCAUAAUCCUCAUUGCUAAAUCUCUAACCCUAACCGAACAGGCAUGACGUAGUGGCGGCACUAUUGAUUCCCAGUGUCCUGAGCUCCUAGCGGCGCGGGGCGUGCAGUAGAGGUGCGACCUCUGUCUCUAUGCUACGCCUACAUGACGACCGUUGAGGACGCACGUCGGUUAUGAGGUUAGAGGCAACAGCUGAAUGACGGACCACCAGACACCAGCAAGGGAAUACCCAAGAUUUAAAUCCUGGCUCCGCCGGCGACGGUAAAAAUUAGUUGAUCUAGUUUGGAAGUGGGUCUAGUUUUUUAAUUUUAUCAAGCUCAAAUAGCAAACUGUUGGAGAUACAAUCUUUUUUUACUUAUCAUAUGGUUUAGGCACU
rnacentral:lncRNA from 1 species